rnacentral:ncRNA from 1 species
UGACCUCGGAUCAGGUAGGGAUACCCGCUGAACUUAAGCAUAUCAAUAAGCGGAGGAAAAGAAACCAACAGGGAUUGCCUCAGUAACGGCGAGUGAAGCGGCAACAGCUCAAAUUUGAAAUCUGGCCUCUUGGGGUCCGAGUUGUAAUUUGGAGAGGAUGUUUCGGGUACGGUCCGGGCUUAAAUUUCUUGGAACAGAAUGUCACAGAGGGUGAGAAUCCCGUCUGGAGUCUGCGACACGGCCUAUGUGAAACUCCUUCGACGAGUCGAGUUGUUUGGGAAUGCAGCUCUAAAUGGGUGGUAAAUUUCAUCUAAAGCUAAAUAUUGGCCAGAGACCGAUAGCGCACAAGUAGAGUGAUCGAAAGAUGAAAAGCACUUUGAAAAGAGAGUUAAACAGUACGUGAAAUUGUUGAAAGGGAAGCGCUGGCAACCAGACUUGCGCGUCGGGGUUCCCCCUUGCUUCUGCUUGGGCUACUCCCCGGCGUUCAGGCCAACAUCGGUUUUGGGGGUCGGUUAAAGGCCCCGGGAAUGUACCUACCCUUCGGGGUAGACUUAUAGCCCGGGGUGUCAUGCGGCCACCCGGGACCGAGGAACGCGCUUCGGCUCGGAUGUUGGCGUAAUGGUUGUCAGCGACCCGUCUUGAAACACGGACCAAGGAGUCUAACAUCUAUGCGAGUGUUAGGGUGUCAAACCCUUACGCGGAAUGAAAGUGAACGGAGGUAGGAAGCCGUAACACGCUGCACUAUCGACCGAUCCUGAAGUUUACGGAUGGAUUUGAGUAAGAGCAUAGCUGUUGGGACCCGAAAGAUGGUGAACUAUGC